CACUCCUACGGGAGGCAGCAGUGGGGAAUUUUGGACAAUGGGCGAAAGCCUGAUCCAGCAAUGCCGCGUGAGUGAAGAAGGCCUUCGGGUUGUAAAGCUCUUUUGUCAGGGAAGAAACGGUGAAAGCUAAUAUCUUUUGCUAAUGACGGUACCUGAAGAAUAAGCACCGGCUAACUACGUGCCAGCAGCCGCGGUAAUACGUAGGGUGCAAGCGUUAAUCGGAAUUACUGGGCGUAAAGCGUGCGCAGGCGGUUUUGUAAGUCUGAUGUGAAAUCCCCGGGCUCAACCUGGGAAUUGCAUUGGAGACUGCAAGGCUAGAAUCUGGCAGAGGGGGGUAGAAUUCCACGUGUAGCAGUGAAAUGCGUAGAUAUGUGGAGGAACACCGAUGGCGAAGGCAGCCCCCUGGGUCAAGAUUGACGCUCAUGCACGAAAGCGUGGGGAGCAAACAGGAUUAGAAACCCUUGUAGUCCCAUG
rnacentral:rRNA from 1 species